UACGAAGGGUGCAAGCGUUGAUCGGAAUUACUGGGCGUAAAGGGUGCGUAGGCGGUUCGCUAAGUCUGUCGUGAAAUCCCCGGGCUCAACCUGGGAAUGGCGAUGGAUACUGGCGAGCUAGAGUGUGUCAGAGGAUGGUGGAAUUCCCGGUGUAGCGGUGAAAUGCGUAGAGAUCGGGAGGAACAUCAGUGGCGAAGGCGGCCAUCUGGGACAACACUGACGCUGAAGCACGAAAGCGUGGGGAGCAAACAGG
rnacentral:rRNA from 1 species